rnacentral:lncRNA from 7 species
CUCGAAGAGAAAUUGCGUUUUUUUCUGGUUAAAUGGGGGUUUCCGAAGAGAAAUGCAUGAUUUUCGUUUAGAUGUGAGGUUUUUGUAGAGGAAAUGCGUGAUUUUUUGGAUACAUGGGGGAUUCUUGUAGCAAAAAUGUUUGAUUUUGGGGUCCAAUGGGGGAUUUUUGAAGAGCAGAAGUGUGAUUUUCACGUUAAAUGGGGGGUUUUCCGUGAGAAAAUGUGUGAUUUGGGGGAUAAUGGGGUAUUUUUGAAGAGAUAAAGCAUGAUUUGGGGUAAAUGGGGGAUUUUGCAGAGAAAGGCGAGAUUGUUGAGUUAAAUGGGGGAUUUUGCAAGAGAAAAUGCGUGCUUUUGGGGUUAAUGGGGGAUUGUUGAAGAGACAAUGCAUGAUUUGGGGUUAAGGGGGGGAUUUUGAAGAGAAAUGCCUGAUUUUGUGGAAAAUGUGGGAUGUUGCAAGAGAAAAUGCAUGAUUUUCGGGUUAAAUGGGGGAUUUUCGAAGAGGAAAUGCUUCGUUUCAGGUUGAAUUUGGGGUUUUUGAAGCCAAAAUGCGUGAUUUUCACUUAAAUGGGGGAUUUUCCAACGAAAUGCAUGAUUUUCUUUUUAGAUGGGGAUUUUCAUAGAGAAAAGGCAUGUUUUUGUGUUAAGUGGGGGAUAUUUGCAAAAAAAAAACGAGGCGUGAUUUUUGGGUUAAACAGGGGAUUUUUGAAGAGAAAAUGUGUGAUUUUCAGGUUAAAUGGGGGAUUCCAAAGAGAAUCGCCUUUUUUUUUUUUUUUUCUGG